AUUGAACGCUGGCGGAAUGCUUUACACAUGCAAGUCGAGCGGCAGCGCGGGGGCAACCCUGGCGGCGAGCGGCGAACGGGUGAGUAACACAUCGGAACGUACCCUAUCGUGGGGGAUAGCUCGGCGAAAGCCGGAUUAAUACCGCAUAAGACCUGAGGGUGAAAGCGGGGGAUCGCAAGACCUCGCGCGAUUGGAGCGGCCGAUGUCGGAUUAGCUAGUUGGUGAGGUAAAGGCUCACCAAGGCGACGAUCCGUAGCCGGUCUGAGAGGACGACCAGCCACACUGGAACUGAGACACGGUCCAGACUCCUACGGGAGGCAGCAGUGGGGAAUUUUGGACAAUGGGGGAAACCCUGAUCCAGCCAUUCCGCGUGAGUGAAGAAGGCCUUCGGGUUGUAAAGCUCUUUCGGCAGGAACGAAACGGUGGAGGCUAAUACCUUCCAUCAAUGACGGCACCUGAAGAAGAAGCACCGGCUAACUACGUGCCAGCAGCCGCGGUAAUACGUAGGGUGCGAGCGUUAAUCGGAAUUACUGGGCGUAAAGCGUGCGCAGGCGGCUUUGUAAGACAGGUGUGAAAUCCCCGGGCUUAACCUGGGAACUGCGCUUGUGACUGCAAGGCUUGAGUGCGGCAGAGGGGGGUGGAAUUCCACGUGUAGCAGUGAAAUGCGUAGAGAUGUGGAGGAACACCGAUGGCGAAGGCAGCCCCCUGGGUCGACGCUGACGCUCAUGCACGAAAGCGUGGGUAGCAAACAGGAUUAGAUACCCUGGUAGUCCACGCCCUAAACGAUGCCAACUAGGUGUUGAGGAAGGAGACUUCCUUAGUACCGUAGCUAACGCGUGAAGUUGGCCGCCUGGGGAGUACGGUCGCAAGAUUA
rnacentral:rRNA from 1 species